rnacentral:rRNA from 1 species
GGCUGAAACUCAAAGGAAUUGACGGGGGCCCGCACAAGCGGUGGAGCAUGUGGUUUAAUUCGAAGCAACGCGAAGAACCUUACCAGGUCUUGACAUCCUCUGAAAACCCUAGAGAUAGGGCUUCUCCUUCGGGAGCAGAGUGACAGGUGGUGCAUGGUUGUCGUCAGCUCGUGUCGUGAGAUGUUGGGUUAAGUCCCGCAACGAGCGCAACCCUUGAUCUUAGUUGCCAUCAUUAAGUUGGGCACUCUAAGGUGACUGCCGGUGACAAACCGGAGGAAGGUGGGGAUGACGUCAAAUCAUCAUGCCCCUUAUGACCUGGGCUACACACGUGCUACAAUGGACGGUACAAAGAGCUGCAAGACCGCGAGGUGGAGCUAAUCUCAUAAAACCGUUCUCAGUUCGGAUUGUAGGCUGCAACCUCGCCUACAUGCAAGCUGGAAUC